rnacentral:rRNA from 1 species
CCUACGGGAGGCAGCAGUCGAGAAUUAUUCACAAUGGGGGAAACCCUGAUGGUGCGACGCCGCGUGGGGGAAUGAAGGUCUUCGGAUUGUAAACCCCUGUCAUGUGGGAGCAAAUUAAAAAGAUAGUACCACAAGAGGAAGAGACGGCUAACUCUGUGCCAGCAGCCGCGGUAAUACAGAGGUCUCAAGCGUUGUUCGGAAUCACUGGGCGUAAGGCGUGCGUAGGCUGUUUCGUAAGUCGUGUGUGAAAGGCGCGGGCUCAACCCGCGGACGGCACAUGAUACUGCGAGACUAGAGUAAUGGAGGGGGAACCGGAAGUCUCGGGGUAGCAGUGAAAUGCGUAGAUAUCGAGAGGAACACUCGUGGCGAAGGCGGGUUCCUGGACAUUAACUGACGCUGAGGCACGAAGGCCAGGGGAGCGAAAGGGAUUAGAUACCCGAGUAGUC